AACGCACAUUGCGCCCCUUGGUAUUCCAUGGGGCAUGCCUGUUCGAGCGUCAUUGACACCCUCAAGCUCUGCUUGGUGUUGGGGCCGUUGUCCUUUCCUCGCCCCCCAGCGACACAGCGACACCCCUCAAAGUCAUUGGCGGCCUUUCUGCCCAGCUUCCCGCGCAGCAGUUCGCGCUUCGGAGACUACUUUGGCAGGCUGGCAUCCAUCAAGCUGACCCUUCAUGCUUGACCUCGGAUCAGGUAGGGAUACCCGCUGAACUUAA
rnacentral:misc_RNA from 1 species